CAGAGUUGCAAAACUCCCAAACCAAUGUGAACAUACCUGAGACGUUGCUUCGGUGGGCGGCUCCAGGGGGAGCCAUCUGCCUUACCGGUGCCCACCGGAGGACCAAAACUCUUCUGUAUUUUAGUGGCCUCUCUGAGAAAAACAUAAUAAGUCA
rnacentral:misc_RNA from 1 species